UACGAAGGGGGCUAGCGUUGUUCGGAUUUACUGGGCGUAAAGCGCGCGUAGGCGGACCUGCAAGUCGGGGGUGAAAGCCCGAGGCUCAACCUCGGAACUGCCUUCGAUACUGCGGGUCUCGAGUCCGGGAGAGGUGAGUGGAAUUCCUAGUGUAGAGGUGAAAUUCGUAGAUAUUAGGAAGAACACCAGUGGCGAAGGCGGCUCACUGGCUCGGUACUGACGCCGAGGCGCGAAAGCGUGGGGAGCAAACAGG
rnacentral:rRNA from 1 species